rnacentral:tRNA from 1 species
GCCUGGCUGGCUCAGUCAGUAGAGCAUGUGACUCUCAAUCUUGUGGUCGUGAGUUCAAGUCCCGUGUUGGGCA